UACGAAGGGGGCUAGCGUUGCUCGGAAUCACUGGGCGUAAAGCGCACGUAGGCGGGUCGUUAAGUCGGGGGUGAAAGCCUGUGGCUCAACCACAGAAUUGCCUUCGAUACUGUUUGGCUUGAGACCGGAAGAGGUAAGUGGAACUGCGAGUGUAGAGGUGAAAUUCGUAGAUAUUCGCAAGAACACCAGUGGCGAAGGCGGCUUACUGGUCCGGUUCUGACGCUGAGGCGCGAAAGCGUGGGGAGCAAACAGG
rnacentral:rRNA from 1 species